CAUUCUCGAGAGGCCGUAAGAAGCCCUGUGUUUGUCGUUCUCUGUUAGCCUCACUCUGUUGUGCUGUGUGCUCAUUGAUCUCUAUCAGAGAACAAGAAAAGCCCUCAAACUAGAAUUAGAAACAGCUCCUAAAGAGCAAUAAAGUAAAAAUGCACCAUAGAAAAAGGAAAAGUCUAAACAAAGCUGCCGCUCACAGCAGUCCUGCACAGCAGAUAUAAAAAGCUAUAAGCAGUGUCUUUGAAAGAGCGCGAUGGACAAAGGCAGAUAACCAGGAAAAGCGAGCGCACAAGGCCUGCAACGUUUGGAUUUAUUUAUUUAUUAUAGCUAUAUUAUAAUGAGCAGUGAAAAAUAUUAGAAUGAAUGGAGAAACCGUGGGGCGCGGAGACAUACAAAAAAGUGCUGUAGAGAUGCUCAAUAAACAUCACCGGAAUAACUGGAUGGCAAAACUGUAUUGUAAACUUCCUGUGAAAAGGAGUAUUUAUCAUCUGGCCUCCCGUUCUCAACUUGUAGAUGCUGACUCAGGAGUUAAAUGACCAUUUCACAAGGGUCACCUAAGACUAUCGGAAAACACAGAUAUUCAUAUUACGAUUAAUAAAAGUAGCAAAAUUACAGUAGCAAUAAAAAUAAUGUUAUGGAUGGUGGUAACCACAACACUAUGAACUGUAUUACAGGGCCACGGCCUUAGGAAUGCUGAGAACCACUGCUCUAAUCCAAUUUGUAAUGCUUUGUUGUGUGUCUUAAAGGUUUUAGUUCAUCCCAGGCCACUACCUGUAGAAAGCCAGUUUUCUGCUCACACUACAGCAACCAAAACUGUCCCUAGAUAUUGCCAAAUGUCCUGAGGGCACAUUUGCUCCAGCUGGGGCUCCUUCCCUGUCUAGACAGUUUGAUUUAAGUACUCAUAGAGAAGAGAGCCUGGCUUACUUUUUGAACCACAGAGGCUAAGAGACGAGUUGACAAGCCAGACUGCAUACUGCAUAGAUCCCACAGGAGGGAGCUCCCACCACAUCUCCCAAGACGUGCCCACUGCUGUGAAGGUGGACACAGCUGUUCCAGGGCAAUGGUGUUGGAUUCUGCCCUUCGCUACCUUACUUACGAAAUGUCAUUUGAAUGCCUACAUGGUUAAUGAGAGUUGAGUCUUGCCUUAUUGCCGUUUACUUGGAGAGAACGUAUUGGGGGAUGUGCUAGCCUCAGGAAGGAUUAGAGGUGCUCAGCCUUUGGUCUAGCCAAGGCAUUUCAAAAUUAACUGGUGUGUGUGUGUGUGUGUGUGUGUGUGUGUGUAUGUGUGUGUGUGUGAUUUGUGAAUCCAGAAGCUCUCAGGUGAAUGAGUGGGUGGGUGCAACCUGUUGGGAACACAGAGUGGGUUAACCAAGUCACACUACAGGAUCAUUUCUUGCCUUACAUAAUAUUCCGGGUUUCCGCCCCGAGGACUAAAUUCACACACCAGAAAUAGAGGCUCUUUUCUUCUGUGCUGUGUUUCAUCAGUGCAUAUGAGAAAGGGAGGCAGGAAGAAGAGCCUGUGCCCGGAGCUUUUUCUAUUCUGAGUUCCAUGGGCAAAUUCAAAAUCCUUGCACACAGACAGAUACUUUGGGGUUACCUGUCCUGACCAGAAAAUGCUUUCCCUCAUUCUGUGUAUGUUUUUUUUUUUAGUGGAUCAGAUAGACUGGGGGUUUGGGAUGGGAUCUGUCUGCUAAGUACAGAUGUUUGCAGCCAUGUGCCUUUGUCUCGGUGGUACAUUGAGUUCUCUGAAGCAAGGGUGUGUUCACUCCCCCCCCCGCACCCCCCCUCACCUACGGAAUUAAUGAUUCACAUGGGAAAGUGAAAGACCUCGGGUUUCAUUUUUAAAAAGAACGGCAGACUAGCUAGCGCUCAUGCAGCAUGGGUAAGCCUGGAGGCUUGAAACUUGUGUCUCCAUCCUCCUGCAAAUGGACCCGGAGAGCUUGUUUGAGUUUCUGUCAGAAGAGGGCCCAUACUCACACAUUUUGGACCAAAAAAAAGAGUUCUCGGUCUAUUCUCUUUGACGGAAUGUGCAGCAGGUGGCGAGGGAGGAAAGGGACAGUGCCUAGCGAACCAGGCGACCCUAUCAGUGAGUGACAGGUGCCCCCUCACAUCCACGAUCUGUCUUUAUCAAGCAAGUCUGGGUGGGUUUUUUUUUGUUUUGUUUUGUUUUGUUUUUAUAUUAUCCAUGGCUAGUGAGAUGAAAUUCUUUCUUGUGGACACUUCAGGAGAGCUCAGUACCUUUGUGGAGAGUCACAUUGUGGCAGGCAAGGAUGGAUGCAGUCACAGUGGCUUGUUGAGUGGAACCCGGCUAGAAUACUGUGAAAUCGAGAAAUCACACCAAGCAACACGGAUCGAAGCUCUAUAUUUAAUUCUAUGACCCAAAGGAGAAAUUGCACACGGGGAAUUGCUUGCCAAUCUGGAAUGGUGACACACUCUGAAAUAGGUAUUUCAGCUGCCUUGUGUGUCAGGAAAAAACAGGGUAGGAUCGAAAGGAAUAAAGCCGUGCAGGACAUGGACACCUCCAACUUCCUGGGAAAACAGUUACUGGCCAGAAGAGUGAGCCGCUGUCCCCUACUUCAAGCCACUUGUACCUCUGAUCCACACCCAAGCACCACACCAAAGCAAGAAGGAUGAGCUUCAGUUUCGAAGGCGCCAGCCACAAAUGAGAAAGUCACCUGGCCCGCAAAAUAAAUUCCUGUCAAAGCA